GAUGAAGAACGUAGCGAAAUGCGAUAAGUAAUGCGAAUUGCAGAAUUCCAGUGAGUUAUCGAAUCUUUGAACGCACAUUGCGCCCUUUGGUAUUCCGAAGGGCAUGCCUGUUCGAGCGUCAUUAUCACCCCUCAAGCCCUCGGCUUGGUGUUGGACGGUUUGGUGGAGGCCCCCUCGGGGGCUCCUGCCCCUCCCAAAGACAAUGACGGCGGCCUCGUUGGACCCCCGGUACACUGAGUUCUUCACGGGACACGUAUCGGACACAUGGGUUUACGGGACACGGUCUGCCUCCCCUCAGGGAGAAUCUUUCUAAGGUUGACCUCGGAUCAGGUAGGGAUACCCGCUGAACUUAAGCAUAUCAAUAAGCGGAGGA
rnacentral:misc_RNA from 1 species